rnacentral:rRNA from 1 species
UACGGGGGGAGCAAGCGUUGUUCGGAUUUACUGGGCGUAAAGGGCGCGUAGGCGGCGCAACAAGUCACUUGUGAAAUCUCCGGGCUUAACCCGGAGCGGCCAAGUGAUACUGUCGUGCUAGAGUGCGGAAGGGGCUACUGGAAUUCUCGGUGUAGCGGUGAAAUGCGUAGAUAUCGAGAGGAACACCUGCGGCGAAGGCGGGUAGCUGGGCCGACACUGACGCUGAGGCACGAAGGUCAGGGGAGCAAACGGG